CAGGUAAUAGUACACCCUAACUAAUCUGCAUCAAAGACUCCAACAAUAUUCAAGAAAGAUCUAGACAUAAUGUAUAUACCAAAGUUGAUGAUUCCAGGUAGGUAUCGUAUAUAUGUUUUAGUCCUUGCCAAUGUAUAGUUGUUAGAGUAUGAAUAAAUUGAAACACUUUGUUAACAACAUAUGUUAGAUCAAGAUACGUUACAGUG
rnacentral:lncRNA from 1 species